rnacentral:lncRNA from 1 species
CGGCGACAGCCCGCGCGCCACCUCCUCCCGCAGCGCCGCGAAGAAGCCGCCGCCGCCGCCACCACCACCACCACUCCGCCGCUCCAUGGACAGACAGACAGACACAGACAGCUUCCCAGGGACCUGUCUGUAAUUACAGAAAACCUCGUGCGGCUCAACACGCGUUUUUCUCGCCUCUCUGGCGUGUGGAGCGAGGGGCGGUUUGCGAAUUUAUGCGGGAGCUGGGGGGGUAAAAGGCAAAAAGGGCAAGGGUGUGGGGUAAGGCAAGGCAAGGCGAGCUGGACGCAACGCAGGAAUGGGAUGCAGCGGUGUGUGUU